rnacentral:rRNA from 1 species
GACGAACGCUGGCGGCGUGCUUAACACAUGCAAGUCGAACGGAAAGGCCCUGCUUUUGUGGGGUGCUCGAGUGGCGAACGGGUGAGUAACACGUGAGUAACCUGCCCUUGACUUUGGGAUAACUUCAGGAAACUGGGGCUAAUACCGGAUAGGAGCUCCUGCUGCAUGGUGGGGGUUGGAAAGUUUCGGCGGUUGGGGAUGGACUCGCGGCUUAUCAGCUUGUUGGUGGGGUAGUGGCUUACCAAGGCUUUGACGGGUAGCCGGCCUGAGAGGGUGACCGGCCACAUGGGGACGGAGAAACGGCCCAGACUCCUACGGGGGGAAGCAGGGGGGAAUAUUGCACAAGGGGCGGAGGCCUGAGGCAGCAACGCCGCGUGCGGGAGGACGGCCUUCGGGUUGUAAACCGCUUUCGCCUGUGACGAAGCGUGAGUGACGGUAAUGGGGAAAGAAGCACCGGCUAACUACGU